rnacentral:rRNA from 1 species
UACGAAGGGGCUAGCGUUGCUCGGAAUCACUGGGCGUAAAGCGCACGUAGGCGGAUUGCUAAGUCAGGGGUGAAAUCCCGGAGCUCAACUCCGGAACUGCCUUUGAUACUGGCGAUCUUGAGUCCGGGAGAGGUGAGUGGAACUGCGAGUGUAGAGGUGAAAUUCGUAGAUAUUCGCAAGAACACCAGUGGCGAAGGCGGCUCACUGGCCCGGUACUGACGCUGACGGUGCGAAAG